ACACACACACACACACACACACACACACAGCACCACGGAGGAGAGACCGUGUGGUUUGUCAUAUGGCCUGACUUGAGGGGUUAAAGACGCCAAUGUGAAUAAUGGGGCAACUUCCAGAGAACACGUCAGACACAUCACUAGUGUGUGGAGGCUGGACGGGGACAUGUUGCUGCUAUCAACUUGUACAUGAGCUCAAACGUGACGAGGCGAAAUGAGCUGCCCUGUGCUCCACCAACUCACCUGCAGCUCCUCCCGUCGGUCCUGGCUCUACCUCAAUGCAGAUGUGACUGUGGAUCCAAGUGGAGGCGGCUAGCUAACGCUGCGCUAGCACCGUCCCCCUGCGGCAGCUAACAGACACCAGCAGCAGCAUCGCGUUAGCAGCCGAGCCCUCUGCUCAGAAAACGCAUUUUUAUUACCUUGACGCAGAUUUCAUAUCAGUAUCGUCCUGUUUGUCAGGCGGACAAACGCUCCCGCACACCGACGCGUCUGCGUGAGUCUCGCGAAACCUGUAAAUGGGGGCGGGGAGGGGGGCGGCGGUUAAACGGGAGUUGGCGAAAAGGACUUCAUCUCCCGGCGAGCAUCCAGCCGCCAUGACCGCGGAGAGGGACGUGAGCGCUGGCGCAAUGCACACCGGGAGUUGGUGUUUUGGUGACGAUGGUGUGGACUUUAAACGGGGGGGGGGGGGGGGUAAACGUCAGCUGUUUGAGACAACACGCUGCUCACCAACAUGUCAGGAGCUGCAGCACAAAGCGCUGCAUCAGAACCUGGGGGUCAGGAUUCCUCCCGAGGCGGCUCCACAUCUACCCUCUGCGGACAGGAAGCACGGGACAGCUGCUGAAGUUGUAAACAGGAUCAUUCAAUGUCACCUUGUGCCCGGGAGUCGAGACUUCGUUACCACUACAGCAGAGGGGACAUGUCCCGAUCACAGACAAGAAGAAGACAGACGGGUGGAGAAAGUACUCAAACGUCUUUCUCAAGCAAACGUACUAAUAAACAGACACGAAUCUGACUAAGUUAAAGCAAAAAUACGUUUUCUACUUGACCAAAAGUAAGUAAGUACUUGGUUUUAAUAUAUUUAAAAAAGUAUUAAAAGUAAUUGUAGAGAGUAGCCUAUUCCCCUAUGCAAUGGUCUACUUGGUUGGCACCUAGAUUAAUCUAUUACAUCUUUAACUGUAUACCGGUUUUCUGUUUAAGACAACAAUGGUAUUGACUCUGUCAUACUAACAAAGAAUGUUGCGGAUGUUUCUACUGAGAAUUUUCACAUUGUCAUAUUAUUUUAGCUGCUGUUCUGGUUGGAUCAAUGGAGAAAUGAAUUGAACUUAAAUGCGAUUUUAGUUUUGAAAUGUAAGCAAGUCGAAAGUGCAGAUACUUGCUGAUAUAUUUAGUAAAGUAAAUGUGAGAAGUACCUGAAGAUAAAUCAACUAAACACAGAUACAUAAAGUAAAUGUACUUAUGUUACAUCCCACCACAAUUCAAAAGACGUUCUUGAGUAAGAGUCACAUAAGUAAAAUUUGAGCCCUUAAAAAAUAAAUGAUUAAAUCGAAAAGCAAUGCUCAAUUAAAUUAAUCCAAUGGUGGAACUAAUAAAACAAAUGUUAAAAUAAAUCAAUCUCAGCAUGUAGAAUAUAUGGAUGACUAGCUGCGGUGCUAGUGCAUUAUACAAAAUAUUGCUACCUCUGACAAACAGUUUAUGUUUUCAUCUGCAUCAGGCUGUGGAUCCAGUUCAUUUAUAUAUAAGGUUGUGUUUUUCAACAUUAAAGUUGAUUUCUGAGAUCAUUAUUAUGGAUCCUGAUGAGAAAAAUCAGUCAUGUUAAACUACUACUACAACUACUAAGACCUACGCUAAGACCUAAGCAUCUUUAAAAAGGCAAUUUUAGUUCAUUUUCAGGAGCGUUUAUGAAUGUGAACGUCUGCAUUUACUGAUGUUUUAUAGGCUGUCAGACCUGCUCCCAGCUGAUAACGAUCAAAUUAUCGACAUUAUCGACACUGAACAAAACUUUGACCCAUCAAACAUGCUUUUUCCAGAGCUGACACAGAUUUCAUGGCUUUAUUCAUCAUGUUAAUACAUAUUUCACAUUUUCAAAACAAUACAGAAAUGUGUGCAAUGUAAUUUACACAACACUUUCAAGCUAACUUUAUUUCUGUAUUGGUAUACUUUGAAAAUGUAUGAUGUAAAGAAUUUUGCCUGACCCAUUUCAAAACGAAAAGUGCCCACUGAAAAACAAAACCACAGCACUGCACAGAUGUUAAACGACGUAGCAACACACGUUUGCUUUGUCUUGAAGAAAUCAACCCCAUCAUCCACAACCGCAAAUUAUCAGUAAAUCUGAUUUGCUUAAUUGCUUUUUAACACUUCCCUAAUCCAGUCCCCGAAGAAGGGUACACUUGAGUAAACACCAGGUUUGGCAGGGUUUCCGCAUUGCUGCCCACCGAAGGACACCACGCCUGCUGCAGCUCCAUCACACACCAGAGGGCCACCUGAAUCCCCCUUGAAGAGAAAAGAUACAUGUCACUGAACAGGGCCUUGAAAACCUCUCGCUCCUACACUGCAAACCAUUGAUGUAGUGAUGCGAACCGAUCCCCAUCUCCUACGACAUGUCCGCAGUGACAGCGUGGUUACGUCGACUUCCUGAAGCGUGUUGGGUUUGGUUCCGUCAUUCGCUAUGUCCCCCCAGCCGGUUGUGAGGCAGCGACUUCCUGACGCCACCCUGCUCGUUUUCAGAGAGAUCAACUGCACUGCUGCAGUCAGUUGUGCACUGCUGUCGAGCUGAGAUGAGUGGAUUGAUGAAUGAGAAAUACAGAAAAUGUAUCAGGUCAGCUGGAUUUUGUGCAAGCUAGAGACAAUAAUGAAAAUGUGAAAGUGCUGUAGACAACGGUUGAAACCGUUCUCACCUUUAGGAGCAUGAUGUCAUUUUCAUGCCUAUCAUACCCAGGAUGGGGAAUGGCUCUGACAGUCCUGAAUUCCUGCUUUGUACUCUCGUUAGCUGACAGGGAAUUCACGCCGAGCACGACUGUGUAAGGUCUAGAAAUCAAGAUUUAAUGAAGACCAGACAUUAGAUAUGAUGUCAUGGCUGCAAAUACACAGAAAUCCUUUUCCACAUUGGUCUGUGUUUAGAGGUUUGAUGCUGAGAAUGAACACUGACUAACUAGAUUAACUUUGAGCUUCAGAUGGUUAUUUUUUUUUAUCAUUUAUUAAACCUUUCUCAGAGGUUCUUGAGGACAACCCCUUGUCAUGUGUGAUUAAAUGUAGAUAUAAGGUUCAAAGUUCUUAACUUGUCCUUUACCUCCAUAAGAAGGAUAUGUUUGGACUACGCGUCAGUGGACAUGUUGAGACAUUCUAACGUUGGGUUAGAAGACCAGAGAUAAAGAUUGGGGUCUCGAUCUACUGUGUUUUAUCUAAUCUUGCCUCAGACAUAUGACACACGUGGUCUGUCAGAGAGUGUGGAAGAGUCUUUCUGUUCUCAGCUGACAGCAUUUUUGCUUCCCCUCGACUUAAAAAAACUUUAAAUUGUGGUUCUAAUAUAUUAGUGUUCAGUGCUUCAACAGGAAUUCCACAACAUACUAACUUCAGUGCAAGUCUGAAUAUGCACAGUUUUUGCAUGACAUCAUCAACAGUCAGUAUAUACCCUGUCUCUGUCUUUAUACAGUAUUUAUUAUUCAUUUCAUUCCAGUAUAGUCCAGACAAGCCACCACUAUAAUCAUAUAUGAAUUUAAUACUGUAUUAUAAAUACAAUGAUAACUAAAUAGAAUAUAAUUAUAUUCAAAUAUUUUUGUACUGUUCUUAUCCUAACCUAGUUUUUAGUUGUCCUGAUCCCUCACUGUAAUAAGUGCACUGAGAGCAAUUUAAUACUAGAGUCAAUAUCAUUAUUUUGCAGAUCUGAUUGUGAUGCUUUGUUUUCUCCGAGAAUCUCAAAUUCAGACAGAGAUUGUCAUUAUGAAGUUGUGGAAUAUACGUCACUUUAAAAUGAUUCAAAAUCCGAA